ACAAAAAAAAAGAAAAGGAAAGAAGAGAAAACUGUUUCUCUUCUUCUUAAAACACACCCACCGCUGUGAACCUUCAUCGACACCUUCGCGACAUUUCACCGAAAUCACUUUCACCAAAAUGAAAAUCUCCUCCUUUCAUUUCCGAAAAUAACCUUCAACCGCCCUCACUCCACCCUUUAACAUUGUGCACAUCCUUCAUUCCUCACCACCAAGAACCUCUAUUUCCGAUGAGCUAAAUG
rnacentral:lncRNA from 1 species